GAUGAACGCUGGCGGCGUGCCUAAUACAUGCAAGUUGAGCGAACAGGGGAGGUACUUGUUCCUUUUGCGUGAGCAGCGGACGGGUGAGUAACGCGUGGGGAACCUGCCUUUGAGAGGGGGACAACUUUGGGAAACGGAAGCUAAUACCGCAUAAUAUUUUUAAACACAAGGUUUAAGAUUGAAAGAUGCAAUUGCUUUACCCUAUGAUGAUACCGCGUUGUAUUAGCUAGUUGGGAGGGUAAAGGUCAUCCAAGGCAAAGAUCCGUAGCCGACCUGAGAGGGGGUGCGCCCACACUGGAACUGAAACACGCCCCAGCCUCCUACGGGAGGCACCAGUAGGGAACCUCGCCAAAGGGGGGAAAGCUGGCCGGAGCAACGCCGCGUGAGGGAGGAAGUUCUUCGGACCGUAAAACUCUGUUAUUAGGGAAAACCAAACUUGGAAGUAAAUGCGCAUCUCGUGACGGUACCUAAUCAGAAAGCCACGGCUAACUACGUG
rnacentral:rRNA from 1 species